AUUGAACGCUAGCGGGAUGCCUAACACAUGCAAGUCGAACGGAGUGGCGGACGGGUGAGUAAUAUAUCGGACCGUGCCCAGUAGCGGGGGAUAAAUACUAGAAAGAGUCGAUAAUACCACAACCUAUUGGAGGGGCCGAUAUCGGAUUCGCGAGUUGGUGGGGAAAAGGCUCACCAAGGCCACGAUCUGUAGAUGGUUUGAGAGGACGACCAUCCACACUGGAACUGAGACACGGCCCAGACUCCUACGGGAGGCAGCAGUGGGGAAUUUUGUACAAUGUGGGAAACCCUGAUGCAGCCAUCCCGCGUGUAUGAUGAAGGCCUUCGGGUUGUAAAGUACUUUUGGCAGAGAAGCGUUAUCUGCAGAAUAAGCACCGGCUAACUCCGUGCCAGCAGCCGCGGUAAUUC
rnacentral:rRNA from 1 species